GCCUACGGGGGGCAGCAGUAGGGAAUCUUCCACAAUGGACGAAAGUCUGAUGGAGCAACGCCGCGUGGGUGAAGAAGGUCUUCGGAUCGUAAAACCCUGUUGUUAGAGAAGAAAGUGCGUGAGAGUAACUGUUCACGUUUCGACGGUAUCUAACCAGAAAGCCACGGCUAACUACGUGCCAGCAGCCGCGGUAAUACGUAGGUGGCAAGCGUUAUCCGGAUUUAUUGGGCGUAAAGGGAACGCAGGCGGUCUUCUAAGUCUGAUGUGAAAGCCUUCGGCUUAACCGGAGUAGUGCAUUGGAAACU
rnacentral:rRNA from 1 species